rnacentral:rRNA from 1 species
UACGGAGGGUGCGAGCGUUGUCCGGAAUCACUGGGCGUAAAGGGCGCGUAGGCGGCUCAUGAAGGCUGUGGUGAAAGUCCGGGGCUCAACCUCGGAUCGGCCGUGGCGACUCGUGGGCUGGAGCACUGUAGAGGCGGGUGGAAUUCCGGGUGUAGCGGUGGAAUGCGUAGAGAUCCGGAAGAACACCAGUGGCGAAGGCGGCCCGCUGGGCAGUGGCUGACGCUGAGACGCGAAAGCGUGGGGAGCGAACCGGG